AGCUUAACACAUGCAAGUCGAGCGGGGAAGGGUAGCUUGCUACCUGACCUAGCGGCGGACGGGUGAGUAAUGCUUAGGAAUCUGCCUAUUAGUGGGGGACAACAUCUCGAAAGGGAUGCUAAUACCGCAUACGUCCUACGGGAGAAAGCAGGGGAUCUUCGGACCUUGCGCUAAUAGAUGAGCCUAAGUCGGAUUAGCUAGUUGGUGGGGUAAAGGCCUACCAAGGCGACGAUCUGUAGCGGGUCUGAGAGGAUGAUCCGCCACACUGGGACUGAGACACGGCCCAGACUCCUACGGGAGGCAGCAGUGGGGAAUAUUGGACAAUGGGGGGAACCCUGAUCCAGCCAUGCCGCGUGUGUGAAGAAGGCCUUAUGGUUGUAAAGCACUUUAAGCGAGGAGGAGGCUACUUUAGUUAAUACCUAGAGAUAGUGGACGUUACUCGCAGAAUAAGCACCGGCUAACUCAUGUGGCCCAGCAAGCCGCGGGUAAUACAGAAGGGGGUGCAAAGCCGUU
rnacentral:rRNA from 1 species